AGUGAACGCUGGCGGUAGGCCUAACACAUGCAAGUCGAACGGCAGCACAGUAAGAGCUUGCUCUUACGGGUGGCGAGUGGCGGACGGGUGAGGAAUACAUCGGAAUCUACUUUUUCGUGGGGGAUAACGUAGGGACACUUACGCUAAUACCGCAUACGACCUACGGGUGAAAGCAGGGGAUCUUCGGACCUUGCGCGAUUGAAUGAGCCGAUGUCGGAUUAGCUAGUUGGCGGGGUAAAGGCCCACCAAGGCGACGAUCCGUAGCUGGUCUGAGAGGAUGAUCAGCCACACUGGAACUGAGACACGGUCCAGACUCCUACGGGAGGCAGCAGUGGGGAAUAUUGGACAAUGGGCGAAAGCCUGAUCCAGCCAUGCCGCGUGGGUGAAGAAGGCCUUCGGGUUGUAAAGCCCUUUUGUUGGGAAAGAAAAGCAGCAAGUUAAUACCCCGCUGUUCUGACGGUACCCAAAGAAUAAGCACCGGCUAACUUCGUG
rnacentral:rRNA from 1 species